UGUGCUUUGUCUUGCAGGCUGGAAGCAAAAGAUAUUGCCAGUCCAGACUUCAGAGCCCAUUUGGCUGGUGCAGACAAUGUGAUGGGCUAAGAUGGAACAGCACCUGUGUAGCUUGAGCAGGAGGGGAAGGAAUGACCAGAAGCACAUAAACCUUCACAUCAUGAACAAGCAGAAGUGCGGAGCAAGCAAAUUUGAUGAGAAUACUCAGAGGAGCCUAAGGUUUUCAGUUUUCUUAUCUUUAUCUCAAAUUAUAAAAUUAUGACUUCUUACC
rnacentral:lncRNA from 1 species